CGUCAGAUAAUGUGACAUUUUACCUUUUUUUGCGAGAAACGUGCCAGGAUGACGUUUUCCUAUGAUAUUAUGUUGGGUGAGCAGAGCAGACUGAACCAGACCCCCUGGAGACGUCCCCCUGGGGGCCGUAUGUGGCGGCCUUUGCUCUUACCUGGGAGAUGCCAGCCCAGACACCAGAGGGUCCUUCUGUGCCAACACUGGACUCCCCUGUGAUUGCCGCAACAGCUCCUGUCCUAUUGGAGUGACAAAACUAUAGGAAUACAUGGAAUACUGUAGCAGACUCCUAUGCAAAUUCAAAAGUGUACUUUAUAGCAGAGUCCAUAGCAACAAAAAAAUACUGCCUGCACCAACAUGUGUACAUCACCUCUCUGAUGCUUUCCAUAAAAAAAUGGGUGUUGCGCUGUCCAGCAGGAUCUGACAUGUUUGACACCACCUGCAUCAUAGGAGAGAACAUUUACAAAAGUGCAAAGGAUCUGCAUGGUAAGGCCAGUCAGGAGGUGUGGGAUUCUGUGAUUUUGUGAUUCUGACCCAGCAGGACCUGUUAACCAGCUCGGGGCCACAGCUUCACCGCAGAAACUAUAAACGGAGGAGGAGAUCUCAAUUUCAAGAAACGGGGGCUUUUUGAGGGUGACCCAUUUUGGCAAGGCAUUAGAGAUACACUGCUUGGACUUCCCUCCAAUGAGACACAGGACUGCCACCACCCCAAACCUGUUUUCUUCAGCACUGGAGAGCUGACCUGGGCCCUCCCGUGUCACACAAACAUUGUGGGCGUCCAGAUGAUCACCACAGGACCUGUGGCCAUUGUGGCUAUCCCUGGAGAAAUGACCACCAUGUCAGGGGAGGCCGUCAAGCACGAACUGGAGGCUCAGGGAACGUUCAGUAAUGCAGAGGUGGUCGUUGCUGGCCUGUGUAGCAUCUACUCAUUACAUCACCACCUAUGAGGAGUACCAGAUCCAGCGCUGCAGAGGAGCAUCCACCAUCUCUGCAUAUAUCCAGAAGUUUUGAGGCCAUUGCAGAGGUGAGGACCACAUACUGCACAGUAAACUGGGAUGACGUUCGCACAGAUGCAUCUUGGGAGACAAGGUUUAACUAGGUAAAGAAUGGAGCAGAGAGUAAUGUUAGCAUUGAGUGGCACAUCCUCCUGUCAGCCCAGACGUUCUCCUACCGGAUCAGACACUUUGCACACUACAAACAGAGGAAGGGGAUCACAGAUCCUGUGAUUCCAGUGAAUGGGGGUGUGUCAGAGCUCUUCAGAGUCUCCAAAAGAACGUAUUAUUACUAUCCGCUGGUCAUUGAGUAAGACCAAAUAGGGCACAUUAUAGUGUACACUUCUAGUGACCCACAUUUGAUGAUGUAUUAAUAUUCUCUAUUUCAAUGCAGUUCAAUGUAUGUACAGCAUUGAAGCACUAAAUAAGACCAGUGCUUCGAUACGCAACCGGCCUUUGGGUUGACGGGCAACAAGCCAUUGCGCUGAAUGGAGGCUGUGCUCAACAGGAUGACGGCGGAAAUAUGUUUUGAAUGUAGGGCAGCUUCAGUGCUCUUCCAUAGCUCAUCUCCCAUGGAAAUUAAGAUCAUUUGUUUAUGAUCAGUUUAUUCACGUUUUUUUGUGUGUGUAAUUAUGUACAGUGCUUAUUUUGAAUAGAAUUAAAUGAUUUAAAUAUUGUGGCACACUUCUUAGUUUUAUGUAGAAGGAAUAAAGGGAAGAAAGCUAGUCUCAAAAUGCAAUUGGUUCAUUUAUCACAGGCAAUUACAGAUCAUGAAACGUUAGAAUUACCAAG